CACGUAGGGUGCGAGCGUUGUCCGGAAUUACUGGGCGUAAAGCGCACGUAGGCGGCUUUGCAAGUUAGAGGUGAAAGCCCGGGGCUCAACUCCGGAAUUGCCUUUAAAACUGCAUCGCUAGAAUUGUGGAGAGGUAAGUGGAAUUCCGAGUGUAGAGGUGAAAUUCGUAGAUAUUCGGAAGAACACCAGUGGCGAAGGCGACUUACUGGACACAUAUUGACGCUGAGGUGCGAAAGCGUGGGGAGCAAACAGG
rnacentral:rRNA from 1 species